rnacentral:rRNA from 1 species
AGUACGUGAAACUGCUUAGAGGUUAAGCCCGAUGAACCUGAAUAUCCAUUAUGGAAAAUUCAACAUUAAUAUUAUAAUAUUUAUUUUAUAUAAAUAAUUAUAAAAAUAGUGUGCAAUUUUUCCAUAUAAGGACAUUGUAAUCUGUUAAUGUUAUAAAUAUUUAUCAUAAGAUUCAAUAAUAUAUAAAAGUUUAUUCAAAUUAGUUAUUUUCCGAUUUCUAACAUAGAAUAAAUUUAUAAAGUGAAUUUGAUAAAUCAUUGACAGAUUUAUUAUUAUAUAGUGCUUAAAUUCUUAUUUGAAUUUUACAAUAAUUUAUAAAUGUAUUCUCAUUUAUUUAUUUAUUGUAUGCACUUAUAUGAUUAACAAUGCUAUAGAUUCAGGAUACCUUCGGGACCCGUCUUGAAACACGGACCAAGGAGUCUAACAUAUGUGCAAGUCAUUGGGUAUUUUUAAUAAAACCCAAAGGCAUAAUUAACUUAACUGUUUUAUAUAUGGGAUUAGUUUAUAUUUUAUUAUGAAAUAUUAAUUCAAUCCCGGGGCGUUCUAUAUAGUUAUGUAUAAUAAUAUUUAUUAUUAUUUAUACCUCUAACUAGAGCGUACCUUGAGCAUAUAUGCUGUGACCCGAAAGUG